AGGGAGAGAAGAGGGCAGACAGGGUCCAGGAGGAGAGGCCAGUGUCCCCGUCGGUGUCAGAGGGGGUGAAGACCAACCCCACCUCCCUGGCCGACAUGUGUCAGCAGCUGUAGCACAGGAUCCAGGAGCAUUCCGUGCUCCACUCCACCCCUGUGGAGGAUCAGCAAGCUCUGGCGGUGGUGAUGACGUCAGAGCUGGGCCUGAUCUGGCAGGACCUGAAGGGGCUGAUGGA